ACAGAACACAACAAGAUUUGCUGUGAGUUAAGUUUGUAGCAGAAGAAGAAUAUUUCACUUCAAAUAUCAUCAUCAAUCAUGAAUGCACAACAACAAAACAACAUGAAGGCCCAGGCUAACGAGGCCUCCGAGAAAACUCAGGAGAAAGGCAACCAGAUGAUGGACAGCAUCAGCAAUGCAGGCGGUCAGAUGAAGCAAUCGAUGCAGGAGACGGGUGGGCAAAUGAAGGAGAUGGCAUCAAAUAUGGCUGAUAGUGCUAAGGAGGCAACCGGGAUGAAAUGAAGAAGCAUGCAUGCAUAGCGCAUCAGCUCCCCUCCAUCCUUCCAUUUUUACCCCAACACGCACGAACGCUCUGCGUUUUAGUGCUAUUGUUUUCUUUGUUAGUUUCAUGUUCAUGUUUCUAGAGGCUUUUAAAUUUGGGUUCUGCUCUGUUAGCGGAACCAUGCAUAAUGUAUGAACAAAGAGGAGGGGUGGAGUUCUUUUUUAUUUA